AUGGGGUACAGAACUGUCCCACGUACUGAGGACAUGAUGUCUGAGCCCCCGGCCACAGCACUGCUUGUCCACGGGCCCCCAAUCAUGAUGAUGAUCAAAAAUCCCCCCACAAUUCUCAGAACAGCCCUGGGGUUCGGGACCACCGAGCUGAGAAUUCCUACACCAGAUCCACCCCUACUAGGAACUGGGAAUCCACAGUCAGGACGGGUGGCCUGUGAGGUCUGCCUUCACACACCGCACACAUUCCCACCUGCCUCGCCCUCCUGUCCCCCUCAUUUCAGGACAGAGGGGAGACCCGUUUCUACCUGUGCACCGUUGCCCGUGCCGUUCUGCUGGGGACUAGGACGCACAGGGUUUCUAAGCACCGGCUGUGUACCGGGCUUUAUACACAUUGCCUCCCUCCCUGCAGGGUGGACCUUUCCAUUGUCCUGUGUCACAGGCUGCCACACUGAGGCUCGGAGGGCAAGGGCCUGCCCUGUGUCACACAGCGCGGGAGGCAGAGGGCGGUCCUGCUCUCAGGUGUGUUUGGUGCCAACACACAGCUCUGCCCGCGUCUCCAGCGGCGUUUCCUCCGAUGUGAGAGGGAAGAUGCCAGAGGCCGGUGCCCCUGGUGGGCUGUUGGCUCAGAGAAGGUCCCUGACUCUCGGAAUUAAUGCCACACCUUCCUGCAAUAUAACAGGUGUUUCCUUGGAGUUCCUUCCUUGGUCUCUGGGUUGCAAGUGGCAGAGCUCAAAUCAAACUGGCCUAAAACAAAACCAAGAACAAACAAAGAAACACAGAAUACCUGGCUCAGUUUUGCUCAUUGACCAUAUGGCUUCAGGCCGGGCUACAUCCAGGGGCUCCUACAGUGUUAAGAUGCCUCCUCUCUCCAUUUCUCAGCUCUGCUUUCCCCUGCAUUGAGGAAAUUCUCAGACAGGCUCUUCCAGUUGGGGGCAAACUGGUCCCCAGCAGCUCUAGGCUUCUAUCCACCAAUUUAGCAACUUCAGCAGAAACCAGAUACCUCCCUCAGGGAGUCCAGCAAAGCCCCAGGGAUGAUGCUCGUUGGCCCAGGCGUGGGUCACAUGACAACCUCGUGCACAGGAGAGGAUGAAGCCACAUGGACUGAGGGUGGUGAGGAGUCUCCACUGUUGACCCCGGGCCCAGGGUCAAGUGCAGGCUGGGGCGUCUGUGCCCAUAGGCAGCAGCGUCGGGUCCCUGGGAGCAGUCCUGCCGGGGACGCCGGGCGUUCUUGCCACCUGUGCAGCCUCCAGGCCAGCCUCUCUGGUCCUCCCAGAGCUCCCAGGGCAGAUUCCCCUCGACCCCCUCCUCCCUCUGCUCCACCAGCUGGAGCUGAGUCCCUGGUGGCUGCGAGGAGCUCUGGUGAUGGAGCUUUACAGAUGGGGAGACUGAGUCCCAGAGGGGGAGUCACUCCUCCAGGUCACCUACCUGCGAGUAGUGGAGCUGGACGGGGCUUCGGGUGGACGGGCUGCUCCAGGACACGCCGCAGCUGGUCUCCUUCCUGCAGCCGGGCCCUCUGCCAGGCUGCCUGGGCCUGGGGCUGAGCGGGGCCCGGCCAGCCGUCCCCUGGAGGCCGCGUCUCACUCAGUCCCAGCAGUUUUACUGGACGCUCGGGGCUGGCGGCGUGGAAGGUGGACUUGGAGGAGCCCUUGAUUCUCAGCCAACAGCUGUCCCCGCCGCGGGCCAUCCUCCUGAUGGACGGGGAGGAGCGAGAUGUGGGGACAGCCGGCCCAGGGCGAGUCCUCCUGAUGGACGGGGAGGAGCGAGAUGUGGGGACAGCCGGCCCAGGGCGAGUCCUCCUGAUGGGCAGGAGGAAGGAGAUGGGAGGAUAUCAGACCCCAGCCCCGGGCAUUCCUGGGCGCCUCACUCAUCGCUCCUGUCUCUCUUGCUGCGGCCAGAGCUG
rnacentral:lncRNA from 1 species